AGUGAACGCUGGCGGUAGGCCUAACACAUGCAAGUCGAACGGCAGCACAGUAAGAGCUUGCUCUUACGGGUGGCGAGUGGCGGAUGGGUGAGGAAUACAUCGGAAUCUACUUAUUCUUGGGGGAUAACGUAGGGAAACUUACGCUAAUACCGCAUACGACCUACGGGAGAAAGCAAGGGAUCUACGAACCUUGUGCGGUUGAUUGAGCCGAUGUCGGAUUACCUAGUUGGCGGGGUAAAGGCCCACCAAGGCGACGAUCCGUAGCUGGUCUGAGAGGAUGAUCAGCCACACUGGAACUGAGACACGAUCCAGACUCCUACGGGAGGCAGCAGUGGGGAAUAUUGGACAAUGGGCGCAAGCCUGAUCCAGCCAUACCGCGUGGGUGAAGAAGGCCUUCGGGUUGUAGAGCCCUUUUGUUAGGAAAGAAAAGCAGCAGGUUAAUACCCCGCUGUUCUGACGGUACCCAAAGAAUGAGCCCCGGCUAACUUCGUG
rnacentral:rRNA from 1 species